CUCUUCCUCAUUUAAUGAAGUACUAAAAGGGUAUUCUGCAGCGAAUCUGCCUCCUAGAAAGAGUCCAUCCAGGAUGCUGGCAGAGGGAAAAAGAUUAGAAACUGUGCGAUCUGGAUUAUUCUUGGUGUUACGGAAUAUUUUUUGAGUUCUUUAUGGACAUGGAAUAAAAAUGCCCAAAUGGAGCAGAAGAGAGGGCUCGGCUACCCUGAUCACAAAGCACCUGGGGUAGAGUCAGCAUCCAGCCCUGGCAGAGCCCUCCCUGUCCUCCUUCCGCGCCCCUAGACCAUCCCGUCGCGCGGUCCCUGAGGACCAGCUUCGCGAGGAUCCAGAAGGCGGUCACUGGACGUGCGUGUUACGAGCCCGUUUUUGUUUUGCUUAAGAAACAGAUUCCGAUCCGAGUAAAGCCUCCCUACCUCCCGGGGAAUAGGGGGAGAUGGCAGCACGGUGCCGGCGUGGAGAGCGAGAAUAAAAGAACUGCCGAGUACAACCUGUCGUGCAAGCUAGCAGCGCCGGGAAGGAAAGAACCUGGACAAUGAGUCCACUUGCAGUACCAGCUUUAGGCCCAGAGGAGACAUGAGACAUCAAUCAACAUAUGUAAAAUGAACAUUGGUUUGGACUCUGAGGUGAGGAGGGAGCUUGGAGGCUUUCAGAUCACAGGUUCGGGAUGGCACAUUCCUAAUUCCCUCUUGACCACAAAAUGUGAGGAUCUAGCCUCAAAUCUGCAACGCUUGCGUCUAAGAAAAAAAUUGUUUUUAAAUUUCCAUUUAACAGAAAUACAGAUGCAGAGCCAUAUAAUCAUCGGUCUUUGAUCACUCAGCAAAUCACAGAACAAGGAACAAAUCCUAGAGGGGAUGACAGGCCAGUUUUUGACCCUAUAGCCCAGCAACCUCAACACGGAACUGGAACCUUUCCCACAUUAAUCGCAAGGCAAGCAAGUGACAGAUUUUUACUUUUUAGUUCAAUCUUUUUAAAUCAAUUAUAAAAGAUGACAAAUAUACACCUCUCUUGGGAUACUUUAGAUAGGGCCUUAUAUAAGUAUUAUAUGUCCUAAAAUCAGGCAGAUCUUUCUUUAUCCCCAUCACAUAUUUUACAUUUCUGAAAGUAAAACAGGAAAUUACUUCAAGAAAAUGCCUGGAAGAAAAGCAAAUAUUUUCAAACUAUUCAGAAGAAUGGAAUUUUUCAAAAAUUAAAAUUUGCCAAAGGGAGCCAGGCAUGGUGGGUCACACCUGGAACCUCAGUGCUUUGAGAGGCUGAGACAGGAUGAUCACUUGAGGCCAGCAGUUUGAGACCAGCCUGGGUAGCAUAGUGAGACCCUGUCUCUAUAAAAAAUUAAAAAAUUAGCUGGGCCUGGUGGUGCAUGUCUGCAGUCGUAGCCACUCCAAAGUCUGAGGUGGGAGGAUCACUUGAGCCCAGCAGUUUGAGGCUGAAGUGAGCUAUAAUCACGCCACUGCACUCCAGCCUGGGCAAGAGAGCAAGAUCAUCUCUUAAAAAAAGGGAAAAUAAAAUAAAAUAAACUUGCCAAAGGGG